rnacentral:rRNA from 1 species
GCNNNNACGCUUGNGNCACUNUCUCUAACACAUGCAAGUCGAACGAUGAAGCCUUUCGGGGUGGAUUAGUGGCGAACGGGUGAGUAACACGUGGGCAAUCUGCCCUUCACUCUGGGACAAGCCCUGGAAACGGGGUCUAAUACCGGAUAUGACACACGACCGCAUGGUCUGUGUGUGGAAAGCUCCGGCGGUGAAGGAUGAGCCCGCGGCCUAUCAGCUUGUUGGUGGGGUGAUGGCCUACCAAGGCGACGACGGGUAGCCGGCCUGAGAGGGCGACCGGCCACACUGGGACUGAGACACGGCCCAGACUCCUACGGGAGGCAGCAGUGGGGAAUAUUGCACAAUGGGCGAAAGCCUGAUGCAGCGACGCCGCGUGAGGGAUGACGGCCUUCGGGUUGUAAACCUCUUUCAGCAGGGAAGAAGCGAGAGUGACGGUACCUGCAGAAGAAGCGCCGGCUAACUACGUGCCAGCAGCCGCGGUAAUACGUAGGGCGCAAGCGUUGUCCGGAAUUAUUGGGCGUAAAGAGCUCGUAGGCGGCUUGUCACGUCGGAUGUGAAAGCCCGGGGCUUAACCCCGGGUCUGCAUUCGAUACGGGCAGGCUAGAGUUCGGUAGGGGAGAUCGGAAUUCCUGGUGUAGCGGUGAAAUGCGCAGAUAUCAGGAGGAACACCGGUGGCGAAGGCGGAUCUCUGGGCCGAUACUGACGCUGAGGAGCGAAAGCGUGGGGAGCGAACAGGAUUAGAUACCCUGGUAGUCCACGCCGUAAACGUUGGGAACUAGGUGUGGGCGACAUUNCACGUNGUCCGUGCCGNANCUAACGCAUUAANUUCCCCNCCUGGGGGNUNCNGGCCCCAGGGUNAAACUNAAAGGAUUUGACGGGGGCCCCCANAAACANCGGNACU